CAUGCAAGUCGAGCGGUAGCACAGAGAGCUUGCUCUCGGGUGACGAGCGGCGGACGGGUGAGUAAUGUCUGGGAAACUGCCUGAUGGAGGGGGAUAACUACUGGAAACGGUAGCUAAUACCGCAUAAUGUCGCAAGACCAAAGUGGGGGACCUUCGGGCCUCAUGCCAUCAGAUGUGCCCAGAUGGGAUUAGCUAGUAGGUGGGGUAACGGCUCACCUAGGCGACGAUCCCUAGCGGGUCUGAGAGGAUGACCAG
rnacentral:rRNA from 1 species